AUGGACAGCAGCAACUCCAACAAGAGGAGAGGCGAAGCUCCGAGAGAGGGAGACCGCUGGAUGGAUGUCAGAAUAUUGAAGGAGACCCUUGACUGCACAGUCUGCUUUGAGCACUUCAGCACUGAGAUUUAUCAGUGUUCUGUGGGGCAUUUCAUAUGCUCGUCUUGCCGCGACAAGAUACUGGACAAGAAGUGCCCCACGUGCUCUAUCAAAACUUCCUUCAACCGCUGCUUUGGGAUGGAACAUGUUGUCCGGUCAGUUGCAUUUCCUUGCUCCAAUGCCAAGUAUGGAUGCAGAGAGGGUCACGCAUACUAUCAGAAAGAAAGACACGAGCAGGUAUGCCCGUAUGGCCCAUGCUUCUGCCCAGCGUCCGACUGCGGCUUUGGUGGGCUGACACCCGAGCUCCUGGACCAUCUCACCAUCUAUCACAUGUCUCCAUGUACCGACCUCCCAUAUCAUGGGACGGUGGCUCUCCGCUUAGAACCGGGCAUACAUGUUCUGGCACCCCGCAACAAGAGCAACAACCAUUUUUUCAUGAUCAACAUGGAGCCAGAGCGGCUUGGAUAUGCUAUCUCAGUCGUCUGCGUCCAACCUAAAGCUACGGAGCCCAAGUUCGCAUGUAGUAUGAGUUAUGACUGCUCUGGGACAGGUUAUUGUGGAAGUGCAAGUUGCCAAAUAAAAAGCUCUACACUCUCUGAUGGGCUACCGACGGACUACGACUUAAUUCCACCCAAGAGAAAAAUUUCUGGUGAUCGAAAAUUUAUCAUGCUGAGAAUCACCAUUCAUCAAGCUUCAAGUGUCAGCAAAUCCCGUGUUAAAGGAAAGGGCCUGACUUCUGCUCCAUUGACCCUGUUUCCUCGUUGUUCUGAUGAAGAUGCUGAUAUAGUCUGCAGAUCCUGUAUUGAAGGAAAGGGCCCGACUUCCUCUCAAAAGCUACUGUUUCCUGAUUGUUCUUCUGAUGACGAUGAUGAUGUGCCCUCAAGAUUCGAGCGUGCUCUCCAACGGGUGUCCCUGCUUGAUUAA
rnacentral:rRNA from 1 species